UGGAGGUAUCAGAAGUGCGAAUGCUGACAUAAGUAACGAUAAAGCGGGUGAAAAGCCCGCUCGCCGGAAGACCAAGGGUUCCUGUCCAACGUUAAUCGGGGCAGGGUGAGUCGACCCCUAAGGCGAGGCCGAAAGGCGUAGUCGAUGGGAAACAGGUUAAUAUUCCUGUACUUGGUGUUACUGCGAAGGGGGGACGGAGAAGGCUAUGUUGGCCGGGCGACGGUUGUCCCGGUUUAAGCGUGUAGGCUGAUUUUCCAGGUAAAUCCGGAAAAUCAAGGCUGAGGCGUGAUGACGAGGCACUACGGUGCUGAAGCAACAAAUGCCCUGCUUCCAGGAAAAGCCUCUAAGCAUCAGGUAACAUCAAAUCGUACCCCAAACCGACACAGGUGGUCAGGUAGAGAAUACCAAGGCGCUUGAGAGAACUCGGGUGAAGGAACUAGGCAAAAUGGUGCCGUAACUUCGGGAGAAGGCACGCUGAUACGUAGGUGAAGUCCCUUGCGGAUGGAGCUGAAAUCAGUCGAAGAUACCAGCUGGCUGCAACUGUUUAUUAAAAACACAGCACUGUGCAAACACGAAAGUGGACGUAUACGGUGUGACGCCUGCCCGGUGCCGGAAGGUUAAUUGAUGGGGUUAGCGGUAACGCGAAGCUCUUGAUCGAAGCCCCGGUAAACGGCGGCCGUAACUAUAACGGUCCUAAGGUAGCGAAAUUCCUUGUCGGGUAAGUUCCGACCUGCACGAAUGGCGUAAUGAUGGCCAGGCUGUCUCCACCCGAGACUCAGUGAAAUUGAACUCGCUGUGAAGAUGCAGUGUACCCGCGGCAAGACGGAAAGACCCCGUGAACCUUUACUAUAGCUUGACACUGAACAUUGAGCCUUGAUGUGUAGGAUAGGUGGGAGGCUUUGAAGUGUGGACGCCAGUCUGCAUGGAGCCGACCUUGAAAUACCACCCUUUAAUGUUUGAUGUUCUAACGUUGGCCCCUAAUCGGGGUUGCGGACAGUGUCUGGUGGGUAGUUUGACUGGGGCGGUCUCCUCCUAAAGAGUAACGGAGGAGCACGAAGGUUGGCUAAUCCUGGUCGGACAUCAGGAGGUUAGUGCAAUGGCAUAAGCCAGCUUGACUGCGAGCGUGACGGCGCGAGCAGGUGCGAAAGCAGGUCAUAGUGAUCCGGUGGUUCUGAAUGGAAGGGCCAUCGCUCAACGGAUAAAAGGUACUCCGGGGAUAACAGGCUGAUACCGCCCAAGAGUUCAUAUCGACGGCGGUGUUUGGCACCUCGAUGUCGGCUCAUCACAUCCUGGGGCUGAAGUAGGUCCCAAGGGUAUGGCUGUUCGCCAUUUAAAGUGGUACGCGAGCUGGGUUUAGAACGUCGUGAGACAGUUCGGUCCCUAUCUGCCGUGGGCGCUGGAGAACUGAGGGGGGCUGCUCCUAGUACGAGAGGACCGGAGUGGACGCAUCACUGGUGUUCGGGUUGUCAUGCCAAUGGCACUGCCCGGUAGCUAAAUGCGGAAGAGAUAAGUGCUGAAAGCAUCUAAGCACGAAACUUGCCCCGAGAUGAGUUCUCCCUGACUCCUUGAGAGUCCUGAAGGAACGUUGAAGACGACGACGUUGAUAGGCCGGGUGUGUAAGCGCAGCGAUGCGUUGAGCUAACCGGUACUAAUGAACCGUGAGGCUUAACCUU
rnacentral:rRNA from 1 species